GAUGAACGCUGGCGGCGUGUUUAACACAUGCAAGUCGAACGGUGAAGCAGGAGCUUGCUCUUGUGGAUCAGUGGCGAACGGGUGAGUAACACGUGAGCAACCUGCCCCUGACUCUGGGAUAAGCGCUGGAAACGGCGUCUAAUACUGGAUAUGUGAUGUGACCGCAUGGUCUGCAUCUGGAAAGAAUUUCGGUUGGGGAUGGGCUCGCGGCCUAUCAGCUUGUUGGUGAGGUAAUGGCUCACCAAGGCGUCGACGGGUAGCCGGCCUGAGAGGGUGACCGGCCACACUGGGACUGAGACACGGCCCAGACUCCUACGGGAGGCAGCAGUGGGGAAUAUUGCACAAUGGGCGGAAGCCUGAUGCAGCAACGCCGCGUGAGGGAUGACGGCCUUCGGGUUGUAAACCUCUUUUAGCAGGGAAGAAGCGAAAGUGGCGGUACCUGCAAAAAAAGCACCGGCUAACUACGUGCCAGCCGCCGCAGUAA
rnacentral:rRNA from 1 species